UACGGGGGGGGCAAGCGUUGUUCGGAAUUACUGGGCGUAAAGGGUUCGUAGGUGGCCAACUAAGUCAGACGUGAAAUCCCUCAGCUUAACUGGGGAACUGCGUCUGAUACUGGUUGGCUUGAGUGCAGGAGAGGAAUGCGGAAUUCCAGGUGUAGCGGUGAAAUGCGUAGAUAUCUGGAGGAACACCGAUGGCGAAGGCGGCAUUCUGGACUGCAACUGACACUGAUGAACGAAAGCCAGGGGAGCAAACGGG
rnacentral:rRNA from 1 species